rnacentral:misc_RNA from 1 species
UGCUAUGGAGCUCCCUGAUAUUGUUGCUGAAGCUGCUAAGGUUCGUUCAUUUGCAUGAUGGCAUGGUACUUUUUACCUUGAUCUCCAUAUGUUUGUUUAAAAUCACCUUAAUGUCCUCCAAUAUGACUUGGUCCAUGCACAUGAUGACUUUGUACUUUUCAUCUUAAUCUCCAAUGGGAUUUCUCUGGUUGGACAUGAAACUGAACAUGGAUUUUAUGGGAGCAGUUGGGGGAACAUACAAGAUUGAAUCUAUAAUCUUCUUGUAAAUUGUGUCAGAC